CAUAAAUGCGUUAAUUCACUGCUGUAUUUGUAGAGCAAUAUGGGAGGUUAGAAUGGAUCAUCAUAGGCUCAGGGUCGAAGGGAGAGGAAAAGAAGGAAUUCAGUCUUUUAACCUGCAAGAAAACUCACUCAUGCAGACAGAAGUCCAACAGCAAACAGCACACCAGGGUUGCGACUGAAAUGAAGAGCAGUUGAUCAUUAUUCACCCUGUAUGAAAAUGAUACGACCUAAAAGUUUAACUGAGUAGUACAGUAUUUUGUUUUCUAAAGCCGGAGGUGGGUUGCUGGAAAACAAUGCGGUGUUUGCUGCAGGCUGAGAGGAGGACUGCGAUGUACUACCACCACAGCUCUAACAGGGCACAGAAGAGGACCUCAGUAGAAGACUACAGGUUUCUCCAUGGAGCAGCACAGAGGGUGAACAAAGGCAGGUGUCAUGUUACCCAGGUAGCUCCUGGCCAAUAGUGGUGACACCCCAAAUAAAAAAAAAAAGAGUAGGAAGCAUAGAUCAACAGACCUGGCCACCCCUCUCUUAACAGACCAAGAAAAGCUGUUCAAUACACAAGAAAAUAACACACACACUGUUUCCACGGUAUCUCACGGCAGACAUAACUUCCUAAGCCCACCCACAUCUGCACAGGAACAAAAUUGGAGCUGAAGAAGCAAAAGAGUAAGCUGCACCCUUCUUAUUUCUGGUCUCUAGAGCUGGGAUUCUUGACUAACGAUGGAAGGGGAAGCAGUGAGAUAUGAAAUGGAUAUGAGAUUAAAGUUUCCAGCAGGACUGAAUUUUAAUAACUGAAAGGACUGGAAAGUGAUGCAGUCUACUCAAGAUAUUAAGAUAUGGAAAAUAGAGAUUUAACAGAGCAUAAUUAAAAGCA
rnacentral:lncRNA from 1 species